rnacentral:rRNA from 1 species
AUUGAACGCUGGCGGCAUGCCUUACACAUGCAAGUCGAACGGCAGCACGGGAGCUUGCUCCUGGUGGCGAGUGGCGAACGGGUGAGUAAUACAUCGGAACGUACCCAGUAGUGGGGGAUAACGCACCGAAAGGUGCGCUAAUACCGCAUACGACCUACGGGUGAAAGCGGGGGACCGUAAGGCCUCGCGAUAUUGGAGCGGCCGAUGUCUGAUUAGCUAGUUGGUGAGGUAAAGGCUCACAAAGGCUUCGAUCAGUAGCUGGUCUGAGAGGACGAUCAGCAUCGCUGGGACUGCGGCACGGCCCAGGCUCCAACGGGAGGCGGCAAGGGGGAAUUUUGUACAAGGGGCGAAAGCCUGAUCCAGCAAGGCCGCGUGUGCGAAGAAGGCCUUCGGGUUGUAAAGCACUUUUGUCAGGGAAGAAAUCUUUUAGGCUAAUACCCUGGAAGGAUGACGGUACCUGAAGAAUAAGCACCGGCUAACUACGUGCCAGCCGCCGCAGUAA